rnacentral:rRNA from 1 species
CACGUAGGGUGCGAGCGUUGUCCGGAAUUAUUGGGCGUAAAGAGCUCGUAGGCGGUGUGUCGCGUCGGCCGUGAAAACCUGCAGCUUAACUGUGGGCUUGCGGUCGAUACGGGCAUCACUGGAGUUCGGCAGGGGAGACUGGAAUUCCUGGUGUAGCGGUGAAAUGCACAGAUAUCUGGAGGAACACCGGUGGCGAAGGCGGCAUCCUGGACCAAUUCUGACGCUGAGUGAGCGAAAGCCAGGGGAGCAAACGGG